GGGAGCGAUCAUACCAGCACUAAUGCACCGGAUCCCAUCAGAACUCCGAAGUUAAGCGUGCUUGGGCGAGAGUAGUACUAGGAUGGGUGACCUCCUGGGAAGUCCUCAUGUUGCACCCC
rnacentral:rRNA from 1 species